GAUAAACGCUGGCGGCGUGCAUGAGACAUGCAAGUCGAACGAAGGAUCGGGCUUGCUCGAUCCUUAGUGGCGGACGGCUGAGUAACGCGUAGGUGACCUACCCCGAAGUGGGGAAUAACUGCCCGAAAGGGUGGCUAAUACCGCAUGUGGUCGCACGUUCAUUCGUGCGAGUAAAGCCGCAAGGCGCUUCGGGAGGGGCCUGCGUCCGAUUAGCUCGUUGGUGGGGUAAUGGCUUACCAAGGCGACGAUCGGUAGGUGGUCUGAGAGGACGAUCACCCAGACUGGGACUGAGACACGGCCCAGACUCCUACGGGAGGCAGCAGUCGGGAAUUUUGCUCAAUGGGGGAAACCCUGAAGCAGCAACGCCGCGUGAGGGAUGAAGGACUUCGGGUUGUAAACCUCUUUUGUCAGGGACGAUGAUGACGGUACCUGGCGAAUAAGCCACGGCUAACUACGUG
rnacentral:rRNA from 1 species